AAUGUUCAUGUAUUUAGUAUUCGCAAAGGCACUGGAUUCAAUGGAUAAACCACGAACAAACUGCAGUUAGCAGUCAUGUGAUUGCAGGGGAAUUGUGAUUUACUUUCUUUUAGGGGUUUCCAAAUCUAAGUUUUAUUGCGAUUGCCGUGAAACGCACUUGGGUAAAUGGGCAACUGUAUGUAUGUUUUAGUAAAGCAACUAUUACGGUCAAAAAUUUCCCAGACCUUCUUAGUGUUUUAAUGCUUUUAUAACCGUUCUUCGUUAAUCACAUAAGUUAGCGUUCAAUAAAUGUACUUUCUUUGAGAGUCCUAUAAAAAUAAUCAAGAUAAGACGUUCUUUGUUCAACUUUAAUGUCACAUAAGAACUGUUCUAACAGUAGAGAGACUGGGCUGCCUUCAGAGGCUGAUAUCUAUAGCGCGAAGAGACAUUGUUGCAUAAUACACGAAAUGGGGAGUCCAUGGAACCAAUUCGGAACUCAUAACGCCAAGGCACGCGAGCCGGCUCAACGAACGGGGUCGACGAGUUCCGAGCGGUUAGGAAAUUAAAAAUAAUAAGUUAAUUGCCUGAUUAGAAUAAUUUUCCGCUUCAUGUAUGUAAGGCUCGGUGCUUUUGUGGCUGAGUGUCAUAAACGAUAUCUAAAAGGCAAAAGCUCUUGGGGAAUGGUUGAGGGGUUUCACUGGCUUUGUGCGGUUGGUUCUGACUAUCUCGUAAAUUAGUCUUGUGACAAACGAUGACAAUGCGGAUUGGCUUGUUGCUCUGUGCAAACAAUCCCACCCACAACCACACACCCUUCCCGCAAGAUCGAUAAAACUUUGACAAAGUUGCGAUUAUAUUCACAAACUGGCGACCUUGGCGUUGACAGUCGGUGACGUCACUGGUACUGGCAGGCACAAAGAAAUAGAACAGAGAAAACCUUUUGUUUUCAGGGUCAUACGGCGUACCAAAGUCGAAAAACAGCCCGACUGACCCGCAAGCCAAAGUCAAUGAUGCACUAAAUCUGUGCCAGAAAUUCCUUGCCUACAUCUGACUUUGUAUAUAUCGGACUAUACAUAUGUUUGUACACAUAUAGCUGCAUAUAUGUAUGUAUAUAUGUUGGUUCGAUACAUUCAAUUUCACUUUGCCGCAGAGCGAGUGAAAACUAAAAGCAAAACAAACCGACAACAGACCGUAUAUUUACGACCUAUACUGUAUGCGAAAAUUCUGUAUAUGUGUCUAUAUAUGUAUAAAUAAUAGAUAAAUAAAACUAGGGAGAAUGCGGCGAACGAAAAGAAUAGGGGAAUAGAGUUUCAUUGACAAUUCUUUUCUUAAAACUCUGCAAAAAUAUUCCAAUAAAAAGAAUCAAUAAAAAUUAACCAAGAAUAUAUUUCCAAAGUUUGGAAGCUAAAGCUUUACUGGUUUGAGGUAUGCACAGAUUUAUAUAGGAUUCGGAACGCAAUAAGCUAAAACCCGCAUUCAUAACUAAGAUCUUGCACAAAUCCUUGCAGAUCCUGGCCUAUAUUUCCCAACCUAGCAUCCCAACUUACCAAUGACGGAAACGCACUUCUCGUUCACCACACCACUGGGCAGGAGAUGGAAGUCGAACUCCGUGCCAUUAGCCA